UGCAGAUUGAUAAAAUGUAAGAAUAUGAAGAAAAUUAAAGAGUCAAAAAUGUAAAUCUUGAUUACUGAAAAACUUACGUUACCAUUAAAAGAUUAAGAAGUCAGGAGGGGUCCAGCCUCUGCCAGAAGGAAACUUAGCAGCCAGCGCCUCAGUAGAGACCUAAGGGCGCUGAAUGAGUGGGAAAGGGAAAUGCCGACCAAUUGCAACGCGGCGGGCUGUGCCACUACCUACAACAAGCACAUUAACAUCAGCUUCCACAGGUUUCCUUUGGAUCCUAAAAGAAGAAAAGAAUGGGUUUGCCUGGUUAGGCGCAAAAAUUUUGUGCCAGGAAAACACACUUUUCUUUGUUCAAAGCACUUUGAAGCCUCCUGUUUUGACCUAACAGGACAAACUCGACGACUUAAAAUGGAUGCUGUUCCAACCAUUUUUGAUUUUUGUACCCAUAUAAAGUCUAUGAAACUCAAGUCAAGGAAUCUUUUGAAGAAAAACAACAGUUGUUCUCCAGCUGGACCAUCUAAUUUAAAAUCAAACAUUAGUAGUCAGCAAGUACUACUUGAACACGGUUAUGCCUUUAGGAAUCCUAUGGAGGCAAAAAAGAGGAUAAUUAAACUGGAAAAAGAAAUAGCGAGCUUAAGAAGAAAAAUGAAAACCUGCCUACAAAAGGAACGCAGAGCUACUCGAAGAUGGAUCAAAGCCACGUGUUUGGUAAAGAAUUUAGAAGCAAACAAUGUAUUACCUAAAGGUACAUCAGAACACAUUUUACCAACUGCCUUAAGAAGUCUUCCUUUGGAAGAUUUUAAGCUCCUUGAACAAGAUCAGCAAGAUAAAACACUGCCAAGUAUAAAUCUAAAACAGACCAAGAGUACCUUCAUUUAAGUUUAGUUUGCACAGAGCUUGAUAGCUAUCCUUCAUUUUCUUCAGAGGUAAAUUAUGGCACUUAUGCCAAAAUACAUUAUUUAAUAAAGUUUUACUUGAAGUAACAUCACUAUGUAAUUUGUGAAGACUUGAUGACAAAAGAACAAAAACUUUUUAUGAAAAUUUUAUUUGAAAAUGAAUGGAAGUGCCUUACAUUGGAAUUAUGUACUUAAAAAUUUUCCUAGGAAAGUGUUUGUUUGAAA